rnacentral:rRNA from 1 species
UACGAAUUCAUGGGUCCGGUGAAGUGUUCGGAUCGCUCCGACGUGGGCGGUUCGCUGCCCGCGACGUAGCGAGAAGUCCACUGAACCUUAUCAUUUAGAGGAAGGAGAAGUCGUAACAAGGUUUCCGUAGGUGAACCUGCGGAAGGAUCAUUG